rnacentral:lncRNA from 10 species
CCUUCUCACCCACAGUCAGGGGAUAGACAAGUUUCCUUGCCUGUUCACUGGAGCCACAAGUCAAGUUUAUCUGGCCCCUUUCCCUGCCCUUUGAACACACAUCUCGGAGCAGGAUUCUCAAUGUCAUCUCUCCCCUCUCCUAGCAUAAGGCCUCAUCCCCUGACCGGGUGGCUGGAACAUCUCGGGUGCUUAGCCAGUAGGGCUAUUUCUGGGCCCAUAAACGUCCCAGAGAU